rnacentral:rRNA from 1 species
UGGUGCUUGCACCGAAAGACGAGUGGCGAACGGGUGCGUAACGCGUAUGCAAUCUGCCUUUUACUAGGGUAUAGCCCAGAGAAAUUUGGAUUAAUCCCCUAUAAUAUCAUUAAAUCGCAUGAUUUUAUGAUUAAAGCUUCGGCGGUAAAAGAUGAGCAUGCGUCCUAUUAGUUAGUAGGUGAGGUAACGGCUCACCUAGACUCCGAUAGGUAGGGGUCCUGAGAGGGAGAUCCCCCACACUGGUACUGAGACACGGACCAGACUCCUACGGGAGGCAGCAGUGAGGAAUAUUGGACAAUGGACGAAAGUCUGAUCCAGCUAUGCCGCGUGCAGGAUGACGGCCCUAUGGGUUGUAAACUGCUUUUAUACAGGAAGAAAAACUCCGACGUGUCGGAACCUGACGGUACUGUAAGAAUAAGGAUCGGCUAACUCCGUGCCAGCAGCCGCGGUAAUACGGAGGAUCCAAGCGUUAUCCGGAAUCAUUGGGUUUAAAGGGUCCGUAGGCGGUUUUUUAAGUCAGAGGUGAAAUCCUGCAGCUCAACUGUAGAAUUGCCUUUGAUACUGAAAGACUUGAGUUAUUGUGAAGUGGUUAGAAUGUGU